AGAGUUUGAUCCUGGCUCAGGAUGAACGCUAGCGACAGGCCUAACACAUGCAAGUCGAGGGGCAGCACAAUGGUAGCAAUACUAUGGUGGCGACCGGCGCACGGGUGAGUAACACGUAUGCAACCUACCUGUAAGAGGGGAAUAACCCGGAGAAAUUCGGACUAAUACCGCAUAAUACCGUUUACCUGCAUGGGUGAAUGGUUAAACAUUUAUGGCUUACAGAUGGGCAUGCGUAUGAUUAGCUAGUUGGUGAGGUAACGGCUCACCAAGGCAACGAUCAUUAGGGGUUCUGAGAGGAAGGUCCCCCACACUGGUACUGAGACACGGACCAGACUCCUACGGGAGGCAGCAGUGAGGAAUAUUGGUCAAUGGGCGAGAGCCUGAACCAGCCAAGUCGCGUGAAGGAAGAAGGUUCUAUGGAUUGUAAACUUCUUUUGUAAGGGAAUAAAAAAGGCCACGUGUGGCCUCUUGUAUGUACUUUACGAAUAAGGAUCGGCUAACUCCGUGCCAGCAGCCGCGGUAAUACGGAGGAUCCGAGCGUUAUCCGGAUUUAUUGGGUUUAAAGGGUGCGUAGGCGGACCCUUAAGUCAGUGGUGAAAGUUUGCAGCUCAACUGUAAAAUUGCCAUUGAAACUGAGGGUCUUGAGUGUAA
rnacentral:rRNA from 1 species